AAGUCGUAACAAGGUUUCCGUAGGUGAACCUGCGGAAGGAUCAUUAUCACAAAUGAUUUUAACUCUCUUAAUCCAGAGUUAACCUCUUCUUAAACCAAUCUAACAAAAUGUGAAAUCGUUUUAUAUGUAUAUAUAUUUUUAUAUUCUCGCAAGAGAAUAUAUAUAUAUGUAUAUAUAUUAUUAACCAAUUGAACCUUUUUCUAUAUUGUUAUUUUAAUUAAAUUUAGUACUGAACUAUAUAUAUUGUUAUUCAAUAACGAUAUUAUAAUACAUUACGAAACAAUUUAAAUAAAACAACUCUUAGCAACGGAUAUCUUGGUUCUC
rnacentral:misc_RNA from 1 species